GUAGCUGUGAGAUUGACAGCAAAAUGAUAUAGGCUGGCAGUGACCAAGCCCUUGGCUGGUUAAGAUCACUAGUGAAGGCAUUUGAGCUCCCCUUAGGAGUUCCUCAGCUAUCAAUGACCUGUGGGCACCAGCAAAUAGAGUUCUGCUCCAUCAAGAGCUGUCAUACUUUGCCAGUGUUUUAAUUCCUGUGGCUGAAAACAGCAUCCAGUGAUGACAGAACAAGUACAAGUGUUUUUCAGCUCAGAGUGGGGGAAAUGGAGUGCCCACAGGACCUGCCCACAGGACCUACAGCGCCAUGGUGUGGUAACACCUCUUUUUGGACAAACAAUCAGCUCUGGCAGUCUGGUUUUGCAGCCAAAAGGAGGCUCUUCAGUAUUGCCUUCAGCUUGUGUCAGUAUAGGAACUGUGCCAUUCACUUGGGCACAUCCUGCAAGGUGAUAGUGACAGCAAGGUGGAGGGCAGAACUGAAGAGAGGUGUUUGUCUUUAAUGCAGCCUCCACCGACAGAGGAUCUCAAAGCACUGUACAAACACCUGCUGUAACCUCCAGUGGAUAACAAUACCUGACAGAGAAUGCAAGGGACAGAGAAAGAGGGUGAAUUCUGCAGAGGGCAGCUGCAGAGCCUGAACAGUAGAAGCUGGGAGAGGAGAGAGGGAAUAGACGCCUCACCCUAAAUUCCUGUGAUCCUGAUUUACACCCGUGUAAUUCGGUUGGAGUCGGUGCAAUUACAUUAGUAGGAAACCUGGCUGAGAAAUAAAAAAUGAGCUCCAUGUCUCUUCA